rnacentral:rRNA from 1 species
GUGCCAGCCGCCGCGGUAAUACCGGCAGCCCAAGUGAUGGCCGCUGUUAUUGGGCCUAAAGCGUCCGUAGCUGGCCGCACAAGUCCGUCGGGAAAUCCGCCCGCUCAACGGGCGGCCGUCCGGCGGAAACUGUGUGGCUUGGAACCGGAAGGCUCAGAGGGUACGUCCGGGGUAGGAGUGAAAUCCCGUAAUCCCGGACGGACCACCGAUGGCGAAAGCACUCUGAGAAGACGGCUUCGACAGUGAGGGACGAAAGCCAGGGUCUCGAACCGGAUUAGAUACCCGAGUAGUCC